rnacentral:rRNA from 1 species
AUGUCUAAGCAAAGAAGGCAGGGCGAGGAGGAUGAGGCCAACUACUACCACGACCGCAGCGGCAACAAGGAGAAGAGUCUCUAUUUGGUUCUAGACGACUGGCACAAGGGCUUCACCAUCCGCAAGAUCGAUGCCGACCGUCCCGACCUCAGCGCCUCCCCUGUCCUCCGGCUAAUCAUCGCCACGAGCAACAUACAUGCCGGAACCCUCUUCUACGACACUGACACCGCCGGACUGGCCGUCGGCCCUCCCGUUCCAGACACACUGCUUUGUGGCUUCAACACCUUCCUGACCUCCGACGCCGGUGACACGCUGUUCGUGUUCGCCUUCCACUUCAUGGAGCGGCCUGUGUCCUUUGAGCCGAUGGCGAAGCUGCCGACGACGGAAGACGACAACCUGCUGCCCACCGACUGGUCCUGGAGAAGCAUGACGACGCCCUUCACCAAGGACGAGAUGAUCUUCUCCUACGCGCUGCACCCGGAUGGGCGCACCAUAUUCGUGUCCUCGUGGAGCAGGGCGGUCUGUGGCACGUACUCCGUCGACACCAGGAGCUGCAAGUGGAGGCGCCAUGGGGAGUGGAUGCUACCUUUCAGAGGCCGAGGCUACUUCGAUGCCGAGCUAGACGCAUGGGUCGGGCUGCACGAGGACGGAUACGUCUGCUCCUGCCAGGUUGCCUCCCGCAGCGGCGGCACCACGCAGCAGCCGGAGUGGAAGAUGGCUGGCGAGCGUAGGAUGUGGAUCCCGUGGCAUCAGCUGGAGUUUCGCCUGCGUCGGAUGUGA